rnacentral:rRNA from 1 species
AUUGAACGCUGGCGGCAGGCCUAACACAUGCAAGUCGAACGGUAACAGGAAGACGCUUGCUUCUUUGCUGACGAGUGGCGGACGGGUGAGUAAUGUCUGGGAAACUGCCUGAUGGAGGGGGAUAACUACUGGAAACGGUAGCUAAUACCGCAUAACGUCGCAAGACCAAAGAGGGGGACCUUCGGGCCUCUUGCCAUCGGAUGUGCCCAGAUGGGAUUAGCUAGUAGGUGGGGUAACGGCUCACCUAGGCGACGAUCCCUAGCUGGUCUGAGAGGAUGACCAGCCACACUGGAACUGAGACACGGUCCAGACUCCUACGGGAGGCAGAAGUGGGGAAUAUUGCACAAUGGGCGCAAGCCUGAUGCAGCCAUGCCGCGUGUAUGAAGAAGGCCUUCGGGUUGUAAAGUACUUUCAGCGGGGAGGAAGGGAGUAAAGUUAAUACCCUUGCUCAUUGACGUUACCCGCAGAAGAAGCACCGGCUAACUCCGUG